CACUGCGCAGAUGCAAGAUGGCGUCUGAAUGUGGGAAAGAAAAAUCUCUCUUUGGAUUGCCGUACGAGUGUCAAGAGUUUGUUUUUCCGAUCCAAAAGACACAAUUAGUUAAGAGUAAUGCAAAUUAUUGACCAAAACUUGCUUCUUUUCGCGCAUUUUCACGUGACAAUUUUUUCGCGCCAAACUCCACCGCCAUAUCUGCGCGUCGCACGAAUCUGGCCCCAGUGCGCUGAUAUUUAUAUCGCUUUGCAAUAAUCUUUAUAGAGUUAAUAUUGACAAUUUAUUUAGGAUUUGAUGUUGGCGACAUCGUGAUGGGACUCAGUGACAACCAAUAUUUGUGCAAGAUCUGUAUUAAGUUCGUCAAAAUGGGCUCCGAUGGAGCGAUAUACGGUUACGAAAGUCUUGGCAACAGGCGAACUAAGGACCACUUUAUCAAAUGCCAUUCCAAAGAACAAAUAUCCGAGUGCCCUUCUGGAUGCCGUGACUUCUUCCGAGAAAGAGAGAUGGAACGCCACAAAGCAGAGUGCAGCUUUUUUUGCCCAGUUUGCAAGAAAAAGGUCGCAGAUGUAAAACACUUUAGAAACGAGCACCCAGAUUCGGACUUCCAAAAAUGCAAAUACAUGGGCUGCACCGCCGUUUUCCGGACCUAUACUGGAGGGAAAGAAGAUAUGGAAGAGCUCAACGAGUGUACGAAGCACGUCAUGACUUACCACGUGUGGCAGGAGAUGGGUGAAAAUGCGCUUAACCCCCUUGACAUUAACGAGAAGAGAGAUUGAGUAAAAUAGAGUAGACGUAAUUUUUUAGGGAUGUAUGAAAUCAAAUCAAAAUUCUUUUCCAUUAAUUUGGGAUUUUUUUGAAAUUUUGGCAGCCUUUUCAAUUUAAUCAGAGGUAGAGAGCAGUUUAGAUUUAGAAUAGGAAUAAUCAUUUUCCUGUAUAUUCGCUUUACAGUUCCAAAUUCAUAAGAAAAGCCUUAAAACUGCUGCUAAUUAUACUCCAAAAACGCUAAUUUAAUUAAUAAUUAAUUAAAAGAGCAUUGCUCUGGAUCCUAUUGGUAUAGCCACCGCAUCUUGCCUUAAUAUCAUAGCGGUGUGGGAUACAAAAAAAACAUUCAUGUAUUUUUCGAUCAAAUUUGUAUUUUUUAGUCUCUUUUUUCUGCAGAUUUUUUAUCGUGUGAUGAGAGAAAUUUAUUAUUAACAAUAAAUUUUAGUAUGUUUAACAUU